CCAGACUCCUACGGGAGGCAGCAGUGGGGAAUAUUGGACAAUGGACCAAGAGUCUGAUCCAGCAAUUCUGUGUGCACGAUGAAGUUUUUCGGAAUGUAAAGUGCUUUCAGUUGGGAAGAAAAAAAUGACGGUACCAACAGAAGAAGUGACGGCUAAAUACGUGCCAGCAGCCGCGGUAAUACGUAUGUCACGAGCGUUAUCCGGAUUUAUUGGGCGUAAAGCGCGUCUAGGUGGUUAUGUAAGUCUGAUGUGAAAAUGCAGGGCUCAACUCUGUAUUGCGUUGGAAACUGUAUAACUAGAGUACUGGAGAGGUAAGCGGAACUACAAGUGUAGAGGUGAAAUUCGUAGAUAUUUGUAGGAAUGCCGAUGGGGAAGCCAGCUUACUGGACAGAUACUGACGCUGAAGCGCGAAAGCGUGGGUAGCAAACAGGAUUAGAUACCCUGGUAGUCCACGCCGUAAACGAUGAUUACUAGGUGUUGGGGGUCGAACCUCAGCGCCCAAGCAAACGCGAUAAGUAAUCCGCCUGGGGAGUACGUACGCAAGUAUGAAACUCAAAGGAAUUGACGGGGGCCCGCACAAGA
rnacentral:rRNA from 1 species